GAUGAACGCUGGCGGCGUGCCUAAUACAUGCAAGUCGAGCGAACAGACGAGGAGCUUGCUCCUCUGACGUUAGCGGCGGACGGGUGAGUAACACGUGGAUAACCUACCUAUAAUACUGGGAUAACUUCGUAAAACCGGAGCUAAUACCGGAUAAUAUAUUGAACCGCAUGGUUCAAUAGUGAAAGACGGUUUUGCUGUCACUUAUAGAUGGAUCCGCGCCGCAUUAGCUAGUUGGUAAGGUAACGGCUUACCAAGGCAACGAUGCGUAGCCGACCUGAGAGGGUGAUCGGCCACACUGGAACUGAGACACGGUCCAGACUCCUACGGGAGGCAGCAGUAGGGAAUCUUCCGCAAUGGGCGAAAGCCUGACGGAGCAACGCCGCGUGAGUGAUGAAGGUCUUCGGAUCGUAAAACUCUGUUAUUAGGGAAGAACAAAUGUGUAAGUAACUAUGCACGUCUUGACGGUACCUAAUCAGAAAGCCACGGCUAACUACGUG
rnacentral:rRNA from 1 species